rnacentral:rRNA from 1 species
UACGUAGGGUGCAAGCGUUAAUCGGAAUUACUGGGCGUAAAGCGUGCGCAGGCGGUUAUGCAAGACAGAUGUGAAAUCCCCGGGCUCAACCUGGGAACUGCGUCGGAUACUGGAUGGCUUGAAUUCGGGAGAGGGAUGCAGAAUUCCAGGUGUAGCGGUGAAAUGCGUAGAUAUCUGGAGGAAUACCGGUGGCGAAGGCGGCAUCCUGGACCGACAUUGACGCUGAUGAGCGAAAGCUAGGGGAGCAAACGGG